AGAGGCUGUGACUACUCAAUAGAUAUUUAGGGCUGGGAAGUAACAUGGGAUUGCUGCUCCCAGCAUCCUGGUCUCCUUUUACACAGCCUCACAUUAGGAAAACAUUGAUCGGAACUUUCUCUCGAGAGAUAAAUCAGGAGAAUAAGGCAAUUCAAACUGAAUCAGGUGAACAGUUCCAAUUAUUGACGAUGCUUAUCUUGGGAGAAACAGCCUAGGAGGAAACUUGCCAUCGGCGCAAACCCACCAAGAACUUCUGCCUUCUCACAAUGCCUCGGAAAAAGGAGUUAAGGCCAGAUCUGAAGUCAGUCUUCCCUAUGAUCCGGAUAGGUGACCCUGCAGCCAAGGGACACCAGUGGUUUAGGUGAAGUGCCAGCUCUUGCUAUGCUUCUUUCACUCGCUUUUUCUCUUCUCUUUCCCUUGUGCGUACUGCUAGGUCAUUUAGCAAACACACAUGGGAACCCAAGGGGGUUUAGGGUAAGGCCGACUGGAAGAGGAUGCAACGGAGAAGCGUCCUCCUGCGGCUUUGGCUGUAAAGGAGAUGUCAAAACACCUAAGACGGCCUUCGUGUUCCAUGAGCUAAGUGCUGUCUUCAGCAGCAGGGCCUUACCAUCAGGGAGUGGAGACAGGGCCGCACUUUGGCACACAGGAACUCAGAGACUGUGGCAGCUGGUACAAGACCCAAGCAGCUUCGAGACAGAAGGGUCCCAGCACUGAGAAGUAACCAAGGAACUAUCUGCAAUUAAGACCCACAGGCAAAGGGAAAAGUGGUUUUCUCCAAUGGAGUCUCACUAGGUGUAUUGACUACAUUUCAGGACAGGGCCCAAACCCAGGAAGAGCUGACCAACACAACAAAAUAAAACCAAUGGUAUUUUUUG